GUUUUUGUAAACAAACGCCGAAAAGUAGAAGUAGCUCAGUUUUGAGCCAAGUCAAACCAUACACUGAUGCCCAGAAAGCACAGGUCCCUAGAAGAGCCUCAGUCCAUCAUGUUGUACAGUCGCUGUCCAGUGUACACCAGAAGCAUGGCAAACCGUGCUUCACAGUAUGAGGUCCCUCAAAGAUAUUAUGGAAGAAAAUGAGAGCGACAAAACCCCUUCCAUAUUCAUCAGAAAUCUCUGUAAAAAAACAGUUGAUUGUACGAUUCUGAAGAAAUCAUGAGCAUGUGUUAAUGAAUCGCUAUCAAAUGGUGAUGAUACCAGGUGUUUACAAAAGGUGUCAGAAGAAAUUCCUGGUGUUGAGAUCCAUUUUUAUUGUGUGCAAAUUGUGUUUAUUCUCAUGCAGAGCUACAAGUCAUAAAAUAUUAGUGUGUCUUGUGAGUUACAGUGCUUCAGACAACAAGAGAACUGUGCUUUUGAAAUAGUCAACCAGUGCACUGACAAGUUGCCACUAAGCAUUUAGCCAGUGCUUAAGCUAUUUUCUUCAGUCUUUUUCCCCGGCCUUUGCCCUUGUACCAAACUACCUCAGACAGAAUCAGCCAUCCUGUAUUACAGAAACUUAUAAAAAGAAACAGCAAAGGCUGAUUGUUGUCAGAGACCAUAAAACAAGAUUUCAAUGAAAAACGUUUAUUUUAGUGAGCAUAGUGAGUGAGUGAGUAUGGUUUAACGCCGCUUUUAGCAAUAUUCCAGCAAUAUCACGGCG